AUUGAACGCUGGCGGCAUGCUUUACACAUGCAAGUCAAACGGUAACAGGGUGCUUGCACCGCUGACGAGUGGCGAACGGGUGAGUAAUGCGUCGGAACGUGCCGAGUAGUGGGGGAUAACGCAUCGAAAGGUGUGCUAAUACCGCAUACGUACUGAGGUAGAAAGUGGGGGACCUUCGGGCCUCACGCUAUUCGAGCGGCCGACGUCUGAUUAGCUAGUUGGUGAGGUAACGGCUCACCAAGGCGACGAUCAAUAGGGGGUCUGAGAGGAUGUCCCCCCACACUGGUACUGAGACACGGACCAGACCCCUACGGGAGGCAGCAGUAGGGAAUAUUGGUCAAUGGGGGCAACCCUGAACCAGCCAUGCCGCGUGCAGGAAGACUGCCCUAUGGGUUGUAAACUGCUUUUGUACGGGAAGAAAUGUCACUAUGCGUAGUGAUUUGACGGUACCGUAAGAAUAAGGAUCGGCUAACUUCGUGCCAGCAGCCGCGGUAAUAC
rnacentral:rRNA from 1 species